rnacentral:rRNA from 1 species
CAGUAGCCGCGGUAAUACGAAGGGGGCUAGCGUUGCUCGGAAUGACUGGGCGUAAAGGGCGCGUAGGCGGUUUAUACAGUCAGAUGUGAAAUUCCUGGGCUCAACCUGGGGACUGCAUUUGAUACGUAUGGACUUGAGUGGAGAAGAGGGUCGUGGAAUUUCCAGUGUAGAGGUGAAAUUCGUAGAUAUUGGAAAGAACACCGGUGGCGAAGGCGGCGACCUGGUCUUUAACUGACGCUGAGGCGCGAAAGCGUGGGGAGCAAACAGGAUUAGAUACCCCUGUAGUCCCUGUCUCUUAUAC